GGAGGGCAGGGUGUUUCACUGAAGAUCCUUGCAUACCUGGGGCAUUCCAAAGUUUUAUCGUGGAACAUCGUGCUGCCAUCUGGGAAGAAAAACACGAUGGUACAGGAGCAGCUGGACAACUUCUGUGCACCAUGGAGAAUGCUGAUUUUUACCAGCUGUUGAAAAUCCCACGAAAAAAUGACUAGAGAAAAACUAGUGAAAAAUGCAAAAGGCAAUGAUAGAAAACAAAACCUUCAUUAGACGUUUGCAGAAGACAUGUUUGAUGAAAUGAAAAACUGCUUUAAAUCACUGAUUUGACUUUCCCAGAGCAUUUUUACAAGUUGACAUUAUAGAUAUUUUAUGAACCUGGACCUCUCCUACCACAAACUUUGGAUUCAAAAUACCUAAAACUAAAAACCAUCUUAAAACCUUUCAAAAUAAACAACAACAAAAGGUGACAGAAGUGAUGCUAUGUUUCAGGACUAAACUAGGAAUUUUAGCAGAUUUAUACUGUUUUUGUUGGAACUACUGAGGCACUGGGUUGUUAGUGUAACAUCCUAAAAAAGUUUCAAUACUAAACAACAGAGAAUGUCUCAGUAGGAAUCUGCAAGGGGCAGUAUGGUACAGCAUAGCACCAUGGAAAAAAUACCAAUUGAGAUCCUGAAAAUAAUUUUGGUUAAUCAGUUUAGUAUUACACCUACACUAAAUAACCUUCAUAAUGUAUUCUAAAGCUAGCCUUGCUAUUGCCUAGUUUGCCUUUUUGAAUAUAAUAUAACUUGCAUACACUAUUAAAGGAUUUCAUCUAGUCUUGAUUGUAAAGGCAAGGUAGCGGUAACUGUCAGUGACAGAGAUGCAUAAUUUUUGCUCUAAAUUCUAAAAGCUAGUUUCUUUGGGGAUUAUCUUUUUUUUUCCCAGUGAUUUUUACGAAGUUGGAAUUUUGCAGUUUUACUUUGCUGGAAAAUUACAUAGCUCUACUGAUCCACGGUGACUUUUAAAUUUCCCUUUCACACAUUGUUGUGACCUCAAGCUUUAAUUAGAUUUAAAUGUCUGAACUUAGUAUCUCAGAGAGCAGGACUAAAAAUGGUUUCACAGCAAAACUCUUGCAAAGUUUGGAAGACAUCAGCAGUUCAGAAAGUAACUGAAUGCAACUUGGUGUGACUGUGGAAUCUUGACUGUAUGGUGUGGAAGUGUCAGCUCACAGAACAGAGGGGAAGUUAUGAGGAGGUUUCGGUUAUUUAUUCAAACAUCUCCUGCUUUUUUACGUUGCAAAGGAAAUCUUGAGAUGCUAGGCAGGUGCUGGGGAAAACGGCGUUUAGCAUUUUCCCUGUCUGCAAUAUCAUUCUCCUACUUAGAGCCAUAUAUAUAUUGAGAAUCAGAAAGAACAAGCACUGUAUAACUGUUCUCAUUUAUGUGCUUUCUUAGGCUCUUAUGAGCCAAGAACCUAUCCACUUUUGGGACUAUCUUGUGUAGUGGUAACUAACUCAUGUACAAGUAGGAAUUUAACUGCAGCAGCACAGGAUUCACUGAGGACUGGAUAAGUCUCAAAACAAAGUAAACAAACAUUUUUCUCUCUCUGAAGAGGUCCAUGUUACUACUCUGAGUGCAAUUUUCUCAGAUCAAGCAAGUAGUUGAAGCAAGAAAUUAGCUUAAGUACAUUCUCAAAUACUGCACUUCCAUUGCUGUAAUGCAACCUGGCAGUAGGUAAUGAUGUGUUAUGUUCUUCUUGUCCACAAGAUGUCAAUGUACCCUAAGAAUUCUAGUGCCUGGUCUAGAAUCAUAGAACCGUUUGUGCUGGAAGGGACAUCUAAAGUUCCUCUAGUCCGAGUUCCCGGUGAUGAACGGGGUCACCUACAGCUAGAUCAGGUUGAGUGUCUCCAAGGACAGGGCAUCCACUACUUCUCUGGGUAAUCUGUUUCUCACCACCCUUGUUUUUGUUUUUAACAAGAACUUCUUCCUUAUAUCCAAUCUAUAUCUCCCCUCUUCUACAUUGAAAUCACUUCCCUUUGUCCUACCACAGCAGGUCCUGCUAAAGAGUCUGACCCUUCUCUCUUAUAUCUUCCCUUUAUAUACUGCAAGGGUGCUGUCAGUUCCCCCCUGUAUUCUUAUGUGUGCUAGUAUCUGCUUCUUUCGGAAUAAGACAAAGCCAAAGUUCUUGCUGUGUGUGUUAGCAUUUAGUAUAGCUUCAGUGCCUAGGCCACUAUAGCCAGGAUUCUUACAGGACUCACUAAGCAAAUGUCGCUGCCGGUAACACCAUUAACAAUAACAACACUGAUCACUUUGU